rnacentral:rRNA from 1 species
GAUUGUUCACCCACCAAUAGGGAACGUGAGCUGGGCUUAGACCAUCAUGAGGCAGGUUAGUUUUAUGCUACUAAUGACAGUGUCGCAAUAGUAAUUCAACCUAGUACGAGAGGAACCACUGAUUCGCACAAUUGGUCAUCACGCUUGGUUGAAAAGCCAGUGGCGUGAAGCUACCGUGCGCUGGAUUAUGACUGAAUGCCUCUAAGUCAGAAUCUAGGCUAGAAGCAACACAUGUGCCCGCCGCCCACUUGCCAACCUACAGUAGGGGCCGUCCGGGCCCCAAAGGCAUGUGUCAUUGGUGAAGCCCGCGCAACGGAUGAGCCAUGCAGAAUGCCUUGAAGUACAAUUCCUAUCUUGAGCGGUGGGCAGAAUUCUUUGUAGACGACUUAAAUAUGUGACGGGGUAUUGUAAGUGGCAGAGCGACCUUACUGCCAUGAUCCACUGAGAU